CUUCAGGGGCAUAGACAUCGUCCCCCACUGUCACAGAGGCAGAGCUGCGGAAAGUAGCCCCCAGAAUUGUAUGCCAUCAUCUCCCAAUCGCGCUUCGCCUUCUCUAACAGGGCAAGUGAAGCAUUUGACCCUACUGGCCUUAUUCAUGCAAAGAAAAAAAACAAACAAACUACAACCAAACCCAACAAAAGUCAUCCC